AAAAUUCAAAAAUAUGCGCCAUAAAUAACGGCUCCUUUCGGUCUGCAAACGCCCACAGUCGGACAUAUCGAAAUUCAUAAGUGAUUUACUUGAUCGUGCAAAGACGCUGUAAAUUAGCUGCGCUGGCGCGUUUGUUACUUUAGUUUUUUAUGUGUAAUUCCACGCAAAAACACGAAAACAUAAUUCAGUUGAUAUUAGCGUUUAGCUCUCUACAAGUAUAUCAUAUUUUUUAAAUUUAUUGAUCUUACAUAUUUAAUUUUAAUUUCUUUAUCAGAAAAUCAAUUUAGUUAAUUUACUUUAAUUGUAUUUAACCUUAUUUAUUACUAAGCACAAACGAUAAUUUAAAUAAAAAAACUUUUGUAUCAAGUUGCAUAAUAUAAAUAACACAUUAGAUUUUAAUCGGUUAAUUAGUAAACACGAAACAAAGUAAAAAUAAAAAAACAAAAGUGUAGUAUAACCAAAAAAUAUUCAUACAAGCUAAGUCUAAUACUAGAUUACAGAAAUUAUAGUCGCAUUAAAAUUAAGGCAAAGUAAAAGCAUGACAACACAGAACAAGAAGAAAUCUCAAACCAAAAGAAAUUCGCGAAAAAAAUAAAGAAUCAAAUAAAUAACUUUAAUUUGUAUGUGAGGCAAAGCUGACGUUGAUUAUUGUAUAUCACUGUAUUUAUACAGUAUGGUGGUAGAAAUAGGCUUCUGAAGUAAAANAAAAAAAAAAAAUCUUAAUUGUAUUCAUCAAAAAAGUCAUCUCACAAACUUCAUACAUAUUUACAUUUAAUGCUUAAAAUACACUUGUAUGUACGCAAUUUAUUUGCAAGAUUAAAAUAACAGACUAGAUUACAAGCACUCAGCUUUGAGAAAUAACAAAGUAACUUACAUUUUUGGUUUCUUUUUUAAGCGUGAAAAUUUUUAAGUCAAACCCUAACACUUUAAUGACAAAGAAAGAGGCAUUAAAGCCCAGUAAAAAAUAGCGUUAUUUUCCCGAUGAGCAUACUAGCAAUUUUCCAAAAGUGUGCUUUUAAUCAAAAAAAAAAAA